GGGAUCAUUACAGAGUUGCAAAACUCCCUAAACCAUUGUGAACGUUACCUUCAAACCGUUGCUUCGGCGGGCGGCCCGGGUCCGCCCGGUGCCCCCUGGCCCCCUAGCGGGGCGCCCGCCGGAGGAAACCCAACUCUUGAUUAUUAUGGCCUCUCUGAGUCUUCUGUACUGAAUAAGUCAAAACUUUCAACAACGGAUCUCUUGGUUCUGGCAUCGAUGAAGAACGCAGCGAAAUGCGAUAAGUAAUGUGAAUUGCAGAAUUCAGUGAAUCAUCGAAUCUUUGAACGCACAUUGCGCCCGCCAGUAUUCUGGCGGGCAUGCCUGUUCGAGCGUCAUUUCAACCAUCAAGCCCCAGGCUUGUGUUGGGGACCUGCGGCUGCCGCAGGCCCUGAAAACCAGUGGCGGGCUCGCUGUCACACCGGGCGUAGUAGAUUUUAUCUCGCUCAGGGCGUGCUGCGGGUUCCGGCCGUUAAAAAGCCUUUUUUACCCAAGGUUGACCUCGGAUCAGGUAGGAAUACCCGCUGAACUUAAGCAUAUCAAUAAGCGGAGGAAAAGAAACCAACAGGGAUUGCCCCAGUAACGGCGAGUGAAGCGGCAACAGCUCAAAUUUGAAAUCUGGCUUCGGCCCGAGUUGUAAUUUGCAGAGGAAGCUUUAGGCGCGGCACCAUCUGAGUCCCCUGGAACGGGGCGCCACAGAGGGCGAGAGCCCCGUAUAGAUGGACGCCUAGCCUGUGUAAAGCUCCUUCGACGAGUCGAGUAGUUUGGGAAUGCUGCUCAAAAUGGGAGGUAAAUUUCUUCUAAAGCUAAAUACCGGCCAGAGACCGAUAGCGCACAAGUAGAGUGAUCGAAAGAUGAAAAGCACUUUGAAAAGAGGGUUAAAUAGCACGUGAAAUUGUUGAAAGGGAAGCGCUUGUGACCAGACUUGCGCCGGGCGGAUCAUCCGGUGUUCUCACCGGUGCACUCCGCCCGGCUCAGGCCAGCAUCGGUUCUCGUGGGGGGAUAAAGGCACCGGGAACGUAGCUCCUCCGGGAGUGUUAUAGCCCGGGGCGUAAUGCCCUCGCGGGGACCGAGGACCGCGCAUCUGCAAGGAUGCUGGCGUAAUGGUCAUCAGCGACC
rnacentral:rRNA from 1 species